GAAAUCAGUUCAGCACUAAGUCACUUUGUCUAUAUGGCAAAUGUGAGAUGCAGUGUAUGGAACAUCAAUAUUCUAGUAUGAGAAAUUAACGAUUUAAGUCCUUCUUAAAUGAGGCCAUUUACCCAUAGAGGGUGCCAGGCCCGUAUAACGUUAAUGAUUACUAGAUGGUGUUUCCAAAGAGUCGUGUUGCUUGAUAGUGCAGCACUAAGUGGGUGGUAAACUCCAUCUAAAACUAAAUAUAACCAUGAGACCGAUAGUAAACAAGUACCGUGAGGGAAAGUUGAAAAGAACUCUGAAUAGAGAGUUAAAUAGUACGUGAAACUGCUUAGAGGUUAAGCCCGAUGAACCUGAAUAUCCGUUAUGGAAAAUUCAUCAUUAGAGUUGUAAUAUUUAAACAAUAUUAUAAUAAUAGUGUGCAUUUUUUCCAUAUAAGGACAUUGUAAUCUAUUAGUAUCAAUAAUUUAUCAAAAAAUUUAAGAAAAUAGUUUAUUUAAAUUAAAAUGCUUGCAUUUUAACAUAAAAUAAAUUUCAUAAAUUUGAUAAAGUGCUGAUAGAUUUAUAUGAAUACAGUGCGUUAAUUUUUCGGAAUUAUAUAAUGGCAUGAUUAUCAUUGAUUUUUAUGUUUAUUAUAUGCACUUGUAUGAUAACAAUGCGAAAGA
rnacentral:rRNA from 1 species